AAUAAUCAUUUUCAAUAAAUUGAAUUGGAAAAGUAUUUCAUGAUCAGUUUAAGUGUUAUUAUUGAACCGUUUGUUUGCAUUAUUUGGGAACCGAAUAUUGAUAAUGGAGCUGAAGCAAAUCUUCGCUGAGUUCACUUGUCUAUUCAUCUUUCUGACAGUAGCGUAUGGAGCAGUAACCGAAAGAGUUCUUUACGACGUACACGGUAACAUCCUCCAACCAAAAGAAAACCAGUUCAGAGAUCCAAGAGACUGCUGUAUAGUGCCAACUUGUGAGGAAUCCGGCCAUUGCUUCGAAACAAUAAGUUGUGGUCACAUUUGCAGUCAGGGAAAAUACCGACCUGCCUACUACGGGCCGACGGCCGGAUACAGAUUGAAGAGCUUUUAUACGAAAUUUGAAUGUCAUUUUGGAGAAUGUCGGGAUUAUAAGUUUUUGUGUGCCCAUUGUCCAGACCCGAAUAUGUCAGAUUUCAGUAUUUAUACUGUCAGGAAGGACUGUACGAACUGUUAUUAUUGAAGUGGGAGUGUGGCGAAAAACUUCAGAUGAAGACAUACAGAAAAGAACUGUCCAUGAAUGUUCAGUUCAUUUCGGAUCUAAGUCGGUGACCAAUUGAUACUAAAAUGAUAGUAAUGGAUUCAAUUGUUAUAGAUUGAGAUACGUUUUCGUCAGAAGUGAGGUACAAAUCUGAGGUUGUAAAAAUGUGAUAUAUUUUUGAAUCAUAAAUUAUGAUAGUGUUAAGUGAAUUAGUAGCAGAAAAGAUAUUUGUAAGACUCCGGAAAUAAAUGAUAAUAAUAAUA